AGGAGUAUAGCUCAAAUGGGAGAGCGUCGGUCUCCAAAACCGGAGGUUGCAGGUUCGAUCCCUGUUGCUCCUG
rnacentral:tRNA from 1 species